rnacentral:rRNA from 1 species
UGGCGAACGGGUGCGUAACGCGUUGGUGACCUGCCCCGAAGAGGGGGAUAACAGUUCGAAAGGACUGCUAAUACCCCAUGUGGUCAUGGAGGUUAGAGGCUUCAUGACUAAAGCAGCAAUGCGCUUCGGGAGGGACCUGCGUCCCAUCAGCUAGUUGGUAGGGUAACGGCCUACCAAGGCUUCGACGGGUAGGGGACCUGAGAGGGUGGUCCCCCACAUUGGCACUGAAACACGGGCCAAACACCUACGGGUGGCAGCAGUAGGGAAUAUUGGGCAAUGGGCGAAAGCUUGACCCAGCAACGCCGCGUGUGCGAUGAAGGCCUUCGGGUCGUAAAGCACUUUUCUGGGAGAUGAGAAAGGACAGUAUCUCAGGAAUAAGUCUCGGCUAACUACGUGCCAGCAGCCGCGGUAAAACGUAGGAGGCAAGCGUUAUCCGGAUUUACUGGGCGUAAAGCGCGUGCAGGCGGUUUGGUAAGUUGGAUGUGAAAGCUCCCGGCUCAACUGGGAGAGGUCGUUCAAUACUACCAGACUAGAGAGCGGUAGAGGGAGGUGGAAUUCCCGGUGUAGUGGUGAAAUGCGUAGAUAUCGGGAGGAACACCAGUGGCGAAAGCGGCCUCCUGGACCGUUUCUGACGCUCAGACGCGAAAGCUAGGGUAGCAAACGGGAUUAGAGACCCCGGUAGUCCUAGCUGUAAACGAUGUGAACUUGGCGUCGGCGGGUUCAAAGCCGUCGGUGCCGAAGCCAACGCGAUAAGUUCACCGCCUGGGGACUACGGCCGCAAGGUUAAAACUCAAAGGAAUUGACGGGUUCCCGCACAAGCAGCGGAGCGUGUGGUUCAAUUCG